rnacentral:siRNA from 1 species
CACUCGACCCCUCACUCGACCA